GAAGUCUUCCUGAAGAUCUCUGGCUCUCUCUCUCUCUCUCUCUCUCUCUCUCUCUCUCUGUAUAUCUCUCUCACCUCUAGUACUAUGUCCUGUGAACUCUACCCACUCGGGCAUCCUCAGACUCUUAGCUCUAUCUCUCCCACUCAGGAAGACUGCCAGACUGUCUGCAGUUCCCUGCCCUGUGACACAGUCUGGACACUUUUUCAACACAAUAAACUAGGGAAAUUAUUGGGCUCACUAUUUUGUUACCUGACUCCUGGAAAUAACUGUCCUUCAUUGACUGACAUUCAAUGUCUUGAGGGCCAUCCCUUCAUUGAUUUUGUCCACGUUUUAUUUGUUCGACAUGAAGGUAAAUAUCUAAAUUAUCUGUGGCAACAACUUGGUGGGGUCAACUCGAAUGUUUUUGUCGGCUGUUCUUGAAGACUUCUGGGUCUCUACAACCACAUUCUUUGGCUGGUGCCAGUGUUUAAGCACUCUGAAACUGCAUAGCAGCAUGUUUGAAGGUGGCCUGUCAAAUUUGGGAAACUGACGGUGUGACUGAGCUAGUCACAGGGGUCUUCACAGAAAAGGCAGUCGGGGUCCUGGUCAACUGGAGAUUCCAUCUGAAUGUGAAUGGAUUUAAAAGGUGACUGGAACACUUCUUUCUGACCUCAGAGAUGUGAUGGAUGUCCGGGAAGAUUUUCUCAAGGGCUAGAAGUUAAGAACUUUGUUCCUACUGUUUAUCUUUUUCCCUUUCAUAUUCAAGCCACUUAACCAUACUGAGCCUCAACUUUUUCAUUUAUAAAAUGGAAAUCAUUUUAACUUUUCUCUGGAGGACAGCUGUUGCCUGCCCAUCACUAUUUCCUCCUUUUCUGGUGACAACAUCCUACUUUCCUUCAAAGAAUAAUGCCUACCCCAUUAUAAUAACUUUUACACGGGGCUGUCCCAACACAUGCUGCCUUCAAGGCUAGGUGCAUGACACAGGCCUGGCCAAUCAGUGUGUCCAAUCCCUCUGGCCACUGUGAUUGGUCCAGUUACGGGUAUAUGAUGCAGAUCAAUCCAGUAAAACUCAACCUCGUGACUUUUACUGGAACCAUCAGUCAAGACGCCUUCUUUUUCUGUGAGUUUUCCAGGCUAGGAGAAGGAAAGUUAGAGCCCUGGGAUGCCACGUCAUGAGAAAAGCCUGCCAGAGAGCAAAACUAGCACAAAGGAAAGAAAGUAUUCCAAUAAAAGGGUGACGCUGAAAGCUGAAAUGUGAAUUUGUUAAAUCCUCAAAUAGCCAACAGCUUCUAGGACAAGAUCAUACACAGUUAGGACCUCGAUAACAAUUUGUUAGUGGAAUAGAUAAGAACAUUUUAGAUCCUGUUGCUCAAUUCUGAAAUGCUGCUCUGUGUCAUGAAUAUUGGUUUAUUUUCUUUGUAGAGUGAAGUCAUUAAGACUAGAGCUCCAGGCUUCUUCAUCCAACUCCAAGGGUUCCCAGCAACAUGUGAAGUCCUCUAUCUGUCACUAAGAAGCCGUGUGAGUGAAGCAGGCUAUAUACCUUGGUUUCAACAUCUGUGAACAAGGUGUAAUGAUGGUUUUCUCAUCUUUUUUUAGGAUCGUUAUAAGAAUCUGAGACAGUGAGAGGGAAAAGAUUGUUUUCCAUUCAUUAGCUCAGGCUGGGCAUUGGAGGCAUCUCCUCUGAGCACCUGCUAAAACAGCACUGGCAAGUCACUCUUUGGAGCCAUUUCUGGAAAGAGGUUCUAUACAAAUAAAAUUAGAAAAGUCUGAAUUUAGCAUAUGAGAAAUGUUAUGGCCAUUGGUACCUAUCACUCUAAACACCAUUCUGCUUAUUCUUGUCAUGUAGGGGCAUUUGAUUUUUAAUCUAUCCACUUAAAUAUUGGCUGCUUCUAUAGACUUCCCAACCAGCAGUCCUUGUGCAGGCAAAACUCCCAUUUAACUGAAUGAAAGUAUUAAACAUAAAAUAUUGUUAGGAAGAGUCUGAUAUUGUAUUUAUCUUGCUGAUAAUUAUCUUACAUGUUUUAAUUACUCCCAGUAGUGUCCCAAGGCUGAUUAAAGGAAAAAUAUAAUUUACUCAUCGAAAUAAGAUAUUAUACAAGUAUCAAAUGAUAUUGAUAAAUAUUAAACAAUAAACUUUCCUAGAAUUCUUUCCCUAAAAAAUUGGGGACCUUAUACUUCACUAGUUAUAUAUUUCAGAGCAAGCUGGUUUAUAACAGAAUGAUAAAGGUGAUUAGAAUGAAAGAGAGGCCAUUUGGAUUGAUUCAGUUUUGCUACAUUUAUUAUAAUUUACAAUACUUUGCCAUAAAAAUAAAAUAGUUACCCAACCUCAGAUUACUGUCUUUAUAUUGUGGUUGAUUUUAUAAUUGCUGACCUUUAUCCCAUAGAUUUUUCAGGGUUAGUUAUUACUGGUUUUUACCUGAGAGAUUUGGGGGAGUUGUGUUUAUCGCUCAAAUAUCCAAUCUAAAUUUGGUUCUCUUAUAGCAAUGGAUGGAUGACUCACCUCUCAUAGGAAUGAUAGAACUUGGAUCAUCUUGUCAAUCACAGAGCUUGGUGGCCUUCUACAAAUGUUUGUGGAAUGAAUAAGUGAGAGAAUGAGAGAUUAAUAAAGCCAAUACUAUCACCAGUCCAACGAAGAGCUGCAACUGAAAAAAAAGUCUGACAAAGUAUGAUGUACAUUGAAAAUGAAAAGAAACCAUUCUAUUCUUCGUGAAGUUAGACCUGGAUAGCUAUGUAUAGCUCUGCUCUCUGCAAUUUAAGAGAAAUAAUCUGGAAAUGCAGAAGAAAUAGGGAAAAGCACUUGUAACGUGCAGUUUUAUGUGUCAACUUGGGUAGGCCAUAAUACCCAGUUAUUUAGUCAAACACUAAUCUAGGUGCAGCUGUGAAGGCACUUUGUAGACGUGUUUAACAUCUAAAAUAAGCUCACAUUAAGUAAGAGAUUAUCCUCAAUAAUGUGGGUGGGCCUCACUGAAUCAAUUGGAAGUCCUGAGAGCAAAAACUGAGGUUUGCCAGGGAAGAAGAAAUUUGACCUCAAAACUGCAACAUAGAAAUCCUGACUAAGCUUCCAGGCUGCUGGCUUGCCCUACAAAUUUCAGAUAUACCAGGCCCCAAUCUUACGAACCAAUUUCUUAAAAUAAAUCAUGUAUGCGUAUUCGUUAAUAUACACACUCAUAUAAAGAACACACAUAUGUGUACAUAUAUGUAUAUGUGUGUGUAUGUUCUAUUGGUUUCGUUUCUCUUGAGAGCCCUCGCUGAUAGAGAUUUUAGUACCAAGAAGUAGGGUGCUAUUGUGUAAAUAAAUAAAUAAAUAAAUAAAAAUAUGGAAGUAGCUUUGGAACUGAAUAAUGGAUAGAGGCUGGAAGAGUUUUUAGGUGCAUGAUAGAAAAAUCUUAGAUUGCUUUGAAGAGAUUCUAAUAGAAAUGUCAGAGGCGUUUGAACCAGAGCAACUCCAUCUUUAACAGGGGCUGGGUAAAAUGAGGCUGAGACCUACUGCGCUGCAUUCCCAGGAGGUUAGACAUUCUAAGUCACAGAAUGAGACAGGAGGUUGGCACAAGAUACAGGUCACAAAGACCUUGCUGAUGAAACAACUUCCAAUAAAGAAGCUGGCCAAAACCCACCAAAACCAAGAUGGUGACAAAAGUGACCUCUGGUGGUCCUCACUGCUCAUUAUACGCUAAUUAUAAUAUAUUAGCUUGCUAAAAGACACCCUCACCAGUGCCAUGACAAUUUACAGAUGCCAUGACAACAUCAGGAAGUUACCCUAUAUGGCCGAAAAGGGGAAGGAACCCCCAGUUCCAGGAAUUGCCCACCCCUUUCCCA
rnacentral:lncRNA from 10 species